rnacentral:lncRNA from 1 species
UCCAAUAAUGCGCCCUCAAGUGUUCUCUAUGUAUUUGAGUCAGAAUUUGAGCUUCGAUAUGUAGUAUGAUUGGGAAAGACCAAUCGUGCACGUGAUGGGCCAACAUUUCCUUCCCAGUCCAUGUGUGCUAUAGUCUGUAGACUGUUUAAAUAGUAACCAUGUCGACUCAUACACGUAAUUCCAUAGCAAACCCAGAUCAAGAAAUUCGUCAAGAUCGCCGAAAAUCAACAGAGAAAUAUGGGUUUGAAGGUAUGAUUAUGUAUCUUUUUCAAAAAUGCUUUAAUUUCAGUACUAUUGACAUGCGUGCUUUUAUUUUUCCCUUUCAAUUUUGUAGUUGUUUGCACGGUGUUUUUAAAUGAAGAGUUCAGCACGAGAUUUGUAGUGGAUCUGGGUAAAAUUGAUCCAUGGAAUGGUAAUUCAGUUGAGGAACUUCUUUAUAAAUGGGACUUAAAUUAUUCAUAUCUUGGGAUUAUGGGUUUUGGUUUGUCCAUGAUUUGUUGUUGAAUAUUUUGAGAAAAUUCAUAUGGGUUUCUUGUUCUACUGGGAUUUGUGAAAAUUUUCCAGUUGUAUAUUACAUUGCUGUAUAUGAUUUGAUGUGUUUAUCUGAGUGAAUGAGGAGUGAUUUGAGAGUUUUGCUGUUUGAUGCUGCUAUGGGAGUGUCAGUUAAUGUGAACUGAAUAUAGUGUAUGUUUGGUAGUGACUUUCCUUUCCAAAAAAUCAAUUUUUUGACCGUUAUUUUAUUAUUGCAGCUAUUAUUUUUGACUUUUUCUCUCAUAGGUAAACUCACUUUUCUCUCGAACGGUCAAAAAAAUCGAUUCUCAAAAUUACUACCGAACAAGCCCAUAAUUGAAGAAGGAAAAUGGCUAAAAUGUUGUAUUUUAUACUUUCUAGUCGUGUGGGGUACGUUGUACCAAACAUGACAAUAUGGAUGCGCAAGUCCUUUGUUAUGUCAAUGGGCUGAUAAUAAGUGAAGACGCAGUGUUGAUGCUACGACUUGUCUUAGUUUGCAGUUUAGCCUUUUGUUCCUCAUCCUUUCUGUCCCCAAGGUUGCUCUAUGAACUAAAUGUUCAGUGCAAGUGCAGAUUGCUGCUGGUAGCCAUAAUUGGGUGGCACGCUAAAGAGUGAGACCCGGGAUUUUCAUGAACAAAUCUCUCCAGUACUUGUCCACUUUCUAAGAAGCCGUAAUCGUUAGUUGACCAAAUCUAAUAGCAAUAGCUUUAGG